rnacentral:rRNA from 1 species
AUGGGACUUGGAAUAAUAUGCAAGUUUCAUCUUUUCUAUUGCAGCGAGUGGGUCGGUUAUGCACUGGCAGCAUCCUUGCUACUAGCGGUGGGCGCGAUGGUCCGGGCCAAGCAGAGAAAGAUAGGUGAGAUAUGCUCAGAGGUGAUCAUCAACAAGUCCUCGGACAAGAUGACAAUGGAGAGUAUAGUGGAGGCACAACACAUCAUGAAGAAGGUGCACGAGUACGUCAAGACGACGAACGCCGUGAUCCUCAGGCUAUGGUCCAUUAUUCUAGCCCGGUCACCAAAGGAAAUUCACCUGUGCGGCGGCGGCGGGGAAGGAGCAGCAUCGGCAGCCCUGACAGAGGAAGCCAUGUUGCCGUUUUGUUUGUUCCCAGCCUUGACUAUGGUUGUCCAGCAAGUCCGGCAUGUCGUCAUUUUCUUGUAA